UAGAAAACUGGUGUCUCCACCCAACUCCAGUUCUGAGGUCUCCCUUUUGGGCCUCUUUCACUAACCACAUUUCUUUAAACAUAAUCAGAGCUAACCCUUCUCUAAUUAGACUCGGACAAGCUACUUGAGCCCUGGAAACAAGAUCCAGGGGAAAAAAAAUCCGGGCCUUUUGUGAACAGCUGAUUAUGAUCUCCUGUGGAGCCUGCUAGAAGGGGCUUCUCUGCUGGCUCAACAGUAAAGAAUCUGCCUGCAAUGCAGGAAACAAUCCCUGGAUCACGAAGAUCUGGAGAAGGAAACCCACUCCAGUAUUCUUCCUGGGAAAUACCACAGACAGAGGAGCCUGGUAGGCAUGAGAGGCUAAUAGGAGAACUAAGGAGCUGCUUCAGGAGUUCCAGUGUAAGAUGAUGAAGGUCUGGACUGGAAGUAGAGGUAGCAACUUUUCAGUCUAGUACAAUACCCUCUUUCAUGGGUUGAGAUGAUGAUACAUCUAUCUUCCACAAAA